GUUGGAACAAUGUGGACCGGGAGGUAGAUUCCCCAGGGGAGGGUUGGAACAAUGUGGACCGGGAGGUAGAUUCCCCAGGGGAGGGUUGGAACAAUGUGGACCGGGAGGUAGAUUCCCCAGGGGAGGGUUGGAACAAUGUGGACCGGGAGGUAGAUUCCCCAGGGGAGGGUUGGAACAAUGUGGACCGGGAGGUAGAUUCCCCAGGGGAGGGUUGGAACAAUGUGGACCGGGAGGUAGAUUCCCCAGGGGAGGGUUGGAACAAUGUGGACCGGGAGGUAGAUUCCCCAGGGGAGGGUUGGAACAAUGUGGACCGGGAGGUAGAUUCCCCAGGGGAGGGUUGGAACAAUGUGGACCGGGAGGUAGAUUCCCCAGGGGAGGGUUGGAACAAUGUGGACCGGGAGGUAGAUUCCCCAGGGGAGGGUUGGAACAAUGUGGACCGGGAGGUAGAUUCCCCAGGGGAGGGUUGGAACAAUGUGGACCGGGAGGUAGAUUCCCCAGGGGAGGGUUGGAACAAUGUGGACCGGGAGGUAGAUUCCCCAGGGGAGGGUUGGAACAAUGUGGACCGGGAGGUAGAUUCCCCAGGGGAGGGUUGGAACAAUGUGGACCGGGAGGUAGAUUCCCCAGGGAAGG